UACGUAGGGUGCAAGCGUUGUCCGGAAUUAUUGGGCGUAAAGAGCUCGUAGGCGGUUUGUUGCGUCGGCUGUGAAAUCCCGAGGCUCAACCUCGGGUCUGCAGUCGAUACGAGCAAACUAGAGUGUUGCAGGGGAGGAGUGGAAUUCCUGGUGUAGCGGUGAAAUGCGCAGAGUAUCAGGAAGAACACCCGUGGCGAAGGCGGCUCUCUGGGACGGUACGUGACGCUGAGACGCGAAAGCCGUGGGGAGCGAACAGG
rnacentral:rRNA from 1 species